rnacentral:rRNA from 1 species
GAUGAACGCUGGCGGCGUGCCUAAUACAUGCAAGUCGAGCGAACAGAUGGGGAGCUUGCUCCUCUGACGUUAGCGGCGGACGGGUGAGUAACACGUGGAUAACCUACCUAUAAGACUGGGAUAACUUCGGGAAACCGGAGCUAAUACCGGAUAAUAUAUUGAACCGCAUGGUUCAAUAGUGAAAGACGGUUUUGCUGUCACUUAUAGAUGGAUCCGCGCCGCAUUAGCUAGUUGGUAAGGUAACGGCUUACCAAGGCAACGAUGCGUAGCCGACCUGAGAGGGUGAUCGGCCACACUGGAACUGGGACACGGUCCAGACUCCUACGGGAGGCAGCAGUAGGGAAUCUUCCGCAAUGGGCGAAAGCCUGACGGAGCAACGCCGCGUGAGUGGUGAAGGUCUUCGGAUCGUAAAACUCUGUUAUUAGGGAAGAACAAAUGUGUAAGUAACUAUGCACGUCUUGACGGUACCUAAUCAGAAAGCCACGGCUAACUACGUG